rnacentral:rRNA from 1 species
UAGGGAAUCUUCCGCAAUGGACGAAAGUCUGACGGAGCAACGCCGCGUGAGUGAUGAAGGUUUUCGGAUCGUAAAGCUCUGUUGUUAGGGAAGAACAAGUGCCGUUCAAAUAGGGCGGCACCUUGACGGUACCUAACCAGAAAGCCACGGCUAACUACGUGCCAGCAGCCGCGGUAAUACGUAGGUGGCAAGCGUUGUCCGGAAUUAUUGGGCGUAAAGGGCUCGCAGGCGGUUUCUUAAGUCUGAUGUGAAAGCCCCCGGCUCAACCGGGGAGGGUCAUUGGAAACUGGGGAACUUGAGUGCAGAAGAGGAGAGUGGAAUUCCACGUGUAGCGGUGAAAUGCGUAGAGAUGUGGAGGAACACCAGUGGCGAAGGCGACUCUCUGGUCUGUAACUGACGCUGAGGAGCGAAAGCGUGGGGAGCGAACAGGAUUAGAUACCCU